rnacentral:rRNA from 1 species
UACGUAGGGUGCAAGCGUUAUCCGGAAUUAUUGGGCGUAAAGAGCUCGUAGGCGGUUUGUCGCGUCUGCUGUGAAAACCCGAGGCUCAACCUCGGGCCUGCAGUGGGUACGGGCAGACUAGAGUGCGGUAGGGGAGAUUGGAAUUCCUGGUGUAGCGGUGGAAUGCGCAGAUAUCGAGGAGGAACACCCGUGGCGAAAGCGGCUCUCUGGGACGGUACUGACGCUGAGACGCGAAAGCGUGGGGAGCAAACAGG